UACGUAGGUGGCAAGCGUUAUCCGGAAUUAUUGGGCGUAAAGCGCGCGCAGGUGGUUUCUUAAGUCUGAUGUGAAAGCCCACGGCUCAACCGUGGAGGGUCAUUGGAAACUGGGAGACUUGAGUGCAGAAGAGGAAAGUGGAAUUCCAUGUGUAGCGGUGAAAUGCGUAGAGAUAUGGAGGAACACCAGUGGCGAAGGCGGCGCUCUGGGCCGGAACUGACGCUGAGGAGCGAAAGCGUGGGUAGCAAACAGG
rnacentral:rRNA from 1 species